GGCCGGCUGGCGAAAUGGUAUCGCGUCAGAUUUCGGUUCACUGAAAUCACCCCAACUCUGAAGAUUGCAGGUUCGAGCCCUGCGUCGGUCG